rnacentral:rRNA from 1 species
UACGUAGGUGGCAAGCGUUGUCCGGAUUUACUGGGCGUAAAGGGCGUGCAGGCGGUCUGUUAAGUUCAGGGUGAAAGCUCCCGGCUCAACUGGGAGAGGUCCUUGGAUACUGGCAGACUUGAGGAGGGUAGAGGAGAGUGGAAUUGCCCGGUGUAGUGGAUGAUAUGCGUAGAUAUCGGGAGGAACACCAGUGGCGAAGGCGGCUCUCUGGGCCCUACCUGACGCUGAGACGCGAAAGCGUGGGGAGCGAACCGG